rnacentral:rRNA from 1 species
GUACACUCCUGCGGGAGGCAGCAGUGGGGAAUAUUGGACAAUGGGGGCAACCCUGAUCCAGCCAUGCCGCGUGAGUGAUGAAGGCCCUAGGGUUGUAAAGCUCUUUUGUGCGGGAAGAUAAUGACGGUACCGCAAGAAUAAGCCCCGGCUAACUUCGUGCCAGCAGCCGCGGUAAUACGAAGGGGGCUAGCGUUGCUCGGAAUCACUGGGCGUAAAGGGUGCAUAGGCGGGUCUUUAAGUCAGGGGUGAAAUCCUGGAGCUCAACUCCAGAACUGCCUUUGAUACUGAGGAUCUUGAGUCCGGAAGAGGUGAGUGGAACUGCGAGUGUAGAGGUGAAAUUCGUAGAUAUUCGCAAGAACACCAGUGGCGAAGGCGGCUCACUGGUCCGGUACUGACGCUGAGGCACGAAAGCGUGGGGAGCAAACAGGAUUAGAAACCCGAGUAGUCCC